CCUACGGGUGGCAGCAGUGAGGAAUAUUGGUCAAUGGUCGGGAGACUGAACCAGCCAAGCCGCGUGAGGGAUGAAGGUACAGAGUAUCGUAAACCUCGUUUGUCAGGGAACAAAGGCGUGGACGCGUCCCCGGAUGCGUUUACCUGAAGAAAAAGCAUCGGCUAACACCGUGCCAGCAGCCGCGGUAAUACGGUGGGUGCGAGCGUUAUCCGGAUUUGUGUGGUUUAAAGGGUGCGCAGGGGGUUUGGUAAUUCAGGUGUCAAGGCCCGGGGCUCCACCCCGGCCCGGCCGUUGAAACUGGCAGUCUCGAGUUGGAGAGAGGUAUGCGGAAGGCGCGGUGUAGCGGUGAAAUGCAUAGAUAUCGCGCAGAACUCCGAUUGCGAAGGCAGCAUGCCGGCUCCACACUGACGCUGAGGCACGAAAGCGUGGGUAUCGAACAGGAUUAGAUACCCCAGUAGUC
rnacentral:rRNA from 1 species